rnacentral:rRNA from 1 species
UACAUAGACCUCAAGCGUUAUCCGGAAUCAUUGGGCGUAAAGCGUACCGACAGGUGGUCAUACAAGUCAGAAGUGAAAUCUCAAAGCUUAACUUUGAGUCUGUCUUUUGAAACUGUAUGACUAGAGGGGCAAAGAGGAAGCUGGAACGAACGGUGUAGUAGUGAAAUGCGUUGAUAUCGUUCGGAACACCAAUAGCGUAGGCAGGCUUCUGGGUGCCACCUGACACUGCUAGGACGAAAGCGUGGGGAGCGAAUGGG